rnacentral:lncRNA from 1 species
UACAUGAAGCUUGGCCAAAUUCGAAACUAACUUUUUCUGAUCCUAAUGUGAUGAGCAAAGGCCAUGGUAUCAGCUCACUGGGAUGGUCUUUCUCAUGCACCCAUUAGCCCUAGAAUUCUCCUCAUCGGGCUCAUCCCUCAACUGAGAGACAAAAGCACAUAGUUUCUUUGUACUCUCUCAAGCUUUUUCUGAAUGCACC